ACGUGGAUAACCUGCCCUUAAAUCUGGGAUAAUCAGCCGAAAGGCCGUCUAAUACCGGAUGAUACCUUUUAAUGGCAUCUUUUUAAGGUCAAAGGUGGAGCAAUCCGCCGUUUAGGGAUGGGUCCGCGUUCCAUUAGCUUGUUGGUGGGGUAAAAGCCUACCAAGGCGACGAUGGAUAGCCGGCUUGAGAGAGUGAUCGGCCACACUGGGACUGAGAUACGGCCCAGACUCCUACGGGAGGCAGCAGUAGGGAAUAUUGCGCAAUGGACGAAAGUCUGACGCAGCAACGCCGCGUGGGUG
rnacentral:rRNA from 1 species